GUCCAUUCGAAAACCCAGUCAAUAAGGACGAGAUCAGUGAGGUGCCAGAUUUAUAUCUUGGUGCAAGCGUUCAUCUCUCAAGAGAUCCUAAUAAUGUUAAGGAUCCCAAUGCCAUCCAGUGUAGGACCUAUUUGCUAUAGAGAGAAGAAGAGUGGUGGAGAAGGAGAUAGACACAAAGAAGAACAUAGCUAUCAAUGAAUGAAUGAAGCAAAGAAGAAUACCAAUGCGGUUGAACUUAUGGAGCAAAAACUAACAUAGUAAGAUAGUUCCAGGAGGCAACAAUAAAUUUUUGUAUAAGCUUCAUUCAUUUUGGUAACAUUCAUGAGAAAAAAUAAAAUGUAACUUAGGCUUUUGUAUAAGCUUAAUUUCCUUUUGUACAGUUUUUGUCCCU